rnacentral:rRNA from 1 species
GACGAACGCUGGCGGCGUGCUUAACACAUGCCAGUCGAACGGAAAGGCCCCUUUGGGGGUACUCGAGUGGCGAACGGGUGAGUAACACGUGAGUAACCUGCCCUUGACUUCGGGAUAACUUCAGGAAACUGGGGCUAAUACCGGAUAGGAAUCCUUGCUGCAUGGUGGGGGUUGGAAAGCUUCGGCGGUUUUGGAUGGACUCGCGGCUUAUCAGCUUGUUGGUGGGGUAGUGGCUUACCAAGGCUUUGACGGGUAGCCGGCCUGAGAGGGCGACCGGCCACAUUGGGACUGAGAUACGGCCCAGACGCCUACGGGAGGCAGCAGUGGGGAAUAUUGCACAAUGGGCGGAAGCCUGAUGCAGCAACGCCGCGUGCGGGAUGACGGCCUUCGGGUUGUAAACCGCUUUCAGCAGGGGCGAAGCUUGUGGUGACGGUACCUGCAGAAGAAGCACCGGCUAACUACGUG